rnacentral:rRNA from 1 species
CUGCUGCCUCCCGUAGGAGUUUGGACCGUGUCUCAGUUCCAAUGUGGGGGACCUUCCUCUCAGAACCCCUACGCAUCGUCGGCUUGGUGGGCCGUUGCCCCACCAACUACCUAAUGCGCCGCAUGCCCAUCCGUGACCGGGGUCGCCCCCUUUGGCCGGCAGGGGAUGUCCCCUCCCGGCAUUAUGUUGUAUUAGGCGGGAUUUCUCCCGAUUAUCCAUCUGUCACGGCCAGGUUGCAUACGUGUUACUCACCCGUGCGCCGGU